rnacentral:rRNA from 1 species
UACAGAGGUCCCAAGCGUUGUUCGGAUUCAUUGGGCGUAAAGGGUGCGUAGGCGGCGCGGUAAGUCGGGUGUGAAAUCUCGGAGCUUAACUCCGAAACUGCAUUCGAUACUGCCGUGCUUGAGGACUGGAGAGGAGACUGGAAUGCUUGGUGUAGCAGUGAAAUGCGUAGAUAUCAAGCGGAACACCAGUGGCGAAGGCGAGUCCCUGGACAACACCUGACACUGAGGCACGAAAGCUAGGGGAGCAAACAGG